UCAUCGGAGAUACGUCGUUCGCGCGAAGCAUCUCAACCAUCCUAUCUUUAGACGUCUCUUAGCUGAGGCUGAGGAAGAGUACGGAUUCUCCAACGUUGGUCCGUUGGCGAUACCUUGCGAUGAAUCUGUUUUUGAGGAUAUAAUCGAGAUUGUGAUUCGUUCUGAGUCGUCAUCUGGUGGUGGAUGUGGUGGUAUUCUGAGUCCGGCUACGUUAGAGGAUCUCCGGAGAUGUAGUCACGUUGGAUUAGCUAAGAGCGUUGAAUCUCGUCCGUUGCUUCCUCGGAAUAUUGCUGAAAAAUCUGUGUGCUAAUUAUUUGAAUCUAUGCUUUGGAGAUGGCAAAACAUUAGGGCUUGAUUGUUUUUUUUUUGGUUGUCGCCAGUGUCUCGUCGUCGUCUAUCAUCCCAGAUUUGAAUGAAGAUUAUGUUGAAGUUUUAUUUGGAGA